rnacentral:rRNA from 1 species
UACGUAGGGUGCGAGCGUUAAUCGGAAUUACUGGGCGUAAAGCGUGCGCAGGCGGUUUUUUAAGACAGGCGUGAAAUCCCCGGGCUUAACCUGGGAACUGCGCUUGUGACUGGAAGACUAGAGUAUGGCAGAGGGGGGUGGAAUUCCACGUGUAGCAGUGAAAUGCGUAGAGAUGUGGAGGAACACCGAUGGCGAAGGCAGCCCCCUGGGCCAAUACUGACGCUCAUGCACGAAAGCGUGGGGAGCAAACAGG